GACGAACGCUGGCGGCGUGCUUAACACAUGCAAGUCGAACGGAAAGGCCCUGCUUUUGUGGGGUGCUCGAGUGGCGAACGGGUGAGUAACACGUGAGUAACCUGCCCUUGACUUUGGGAUAACUUCAGGAAACUGGGGCUAAUACCGGAUAGGAGCUCCUGCUGCAUGGUGGGGGUUGGAAAGUUUCGGCGGUUGGGGAUGGACUCGCGGCUUAUCAGCUUGUUGGUGGGGUAGUGGCUUACCAAGGCUUUGACGGGUAGCCGGCCUGGGAGGGUGACCGGCCACAGUGGGACUGAGAUACGGCCCAGACUCCUACGGGAGGCAGCAGUGGGGAAUAUUGCACAAUGGGCGGGAGCCUGAUGCAGCAACGCCGCGUGCGGGAUGACGGCCUUCGGGGUGUAAACCGCUUUCGCCUGUGACGAAGCGUGAGUGACGGUAAUGGGUAAAGAAGCACCGGCUAACUACGUG
rnacentral:rRNA from 1 species